GUUUUUAUAUAUGUUGUAAGCUGCCCAGAGUGGCUGGGGCAGCCCAGUCAAAUGGGUGGGGUAAAAAGAGUAAAAAAAAUAAAAUAAUAAAAUAAUAAUAAUAAUAAUAAUAAUAAUAAUAAUAAUAAUUUAUUAUUUAUACCCCGCCCAUCUGGCUGGGUUUCCCCAGCCACUCUGGGCGGCUUCCAACUGAAUAUUAAAAAC